CGUCUAGAGGCCUAGGACACCGCCCUUUCACGGCGGUAACGGGGGUUCGAACCCCCCUG
rnacentral:tRNA from 1 species